AUAUUUUCAUUCUAUAGGUUUUGUUUACAGCACUCGGGUGAAAAAAUGGCGCCCAAGGGAAAGAAAACCAAUAGCCCUACUAGCGACAGCGACGAGGACGAAACCUUCUAUUACCGGUAUCCCUCCGCCCCCUCUUCUGACCCGUCGCUGCCGUCGUCUUCACAGUCGCACUUCUCAUCGCAAUCGCACUCACACUCACACUCUUCCACUAAGUCUGGCGGUGGUUCUGGAGGUUUGGUUCCUUCGAAGUCUACUCUCUAUGUUUCCAAUUUCGACUAUUCACUCACUAAUUCCGACCUCCACACUCUCUUCUCCAACUUUGGUAAGAUCGCUCGUGUUACGGUGUUGAAAGAUCGACAGACUCGCAAGUCUCGCGGCGUUGCCUUCGUCCAGUUUAUUUCUCAGGACGACGCGGUGAAGGCCGCGAAACAGAUGCACGGGAAGAUUUUGAAUGGCCGUGUUCUUAAGGCUGCUAUAGCGACUGAUAAUGGUCGUGCCGCUGAGUUUAUAAGGAAGAGGGUUUAUAAGGAUAAGAGUAGGUGCUACGAGUGCGGCGCAAUUGAUGGGCAUUUGUCUUAUGAAUGCCCUAAAAAUCAAUUGGGGCCAAGGGAGCGACCAGAACCGAAGCGGGUAAGAAGGGGUGGAGUUGGUGCUAGGCACGAGGAGGAUUGGGGAUCGGAUGUUGGAGAAGGGUUUGAGGAUGACAAUUGGGCCUCGGUGGUGGACGGAGAUGCAGACCAGAGACUCCUGACUGGCGGUGAGAACAUUGUAGAGAAGAAAAAAGAGAAGAAAGCAAGUUAUUUCAGUGACGAGAGCGACGAAGAUGAUUAACUGAGCCUGUCUCUUUGGGAAGAGUUUGUAAAAGAUGAGAUAAAGCUUACAGAGUUUAGAUUUUGGGCUGCCGGGUGCGAUAAGUAAUAAUGAGUUACAGGCUACAUUAAGAUAUAUCAAGGUUGGAGACCAAAGUUGAGAGGCUAAAGUCGGUAGUACAAGUUAAAGAUAGGGAGAUUGCAACAGUUACACGAAUAGAAGCCAAAGGUAAGGCUGCUUUUAAAGCUCAAAUUGACAAGCUACAGUAGGAAAAUGUUGAACUCCAGAGAAGGGUUAUUGGCAAUCAGCAAGUAAGAACUCAACAAAUACAUGAGAUGAAGAAGAAAGAAAAGGAGUACAUCAAAUUGCAGGUGAGAACCUACAGGGUAUAGGAAUACCUACAGGAAAGCUGGAUAUGUAUGUUGCUGCUGCUGGCAUAAACCCUCAAAGAUGAAAGAGGCACUAUCAGCAUUGACAUGUACAUGUGAUUUUAGGCAUGAACCAGGAGAGUGAGAGUUUUAGUGUGCCGUGUUUAGAAUUUGCCGAUAUCUUUUUCCCGUUCCAGCAAGUAUUCCUGAUUGUGGGGAUUCUUCCAGUAAUGCUAGAUAUUGGUACUAACAACGAGAAGUUACUUAAUGAUUCUCUUUGAUUUAUUGGAGUUGAGGAGUCCCACAAUCUUUAUGUUCUGUUUGUUUUUCCAUCACUUUUUCAAGGCUGUUCAAUUGGAGUUCCAUCUUCAGAUGGAAGUCGUAUUCUUGGCCUCGGUGACCUUGGAGUUCAGGGAAUAGGAAUACCUAGAUUGGAGGGAGAAGAGUAUCUAUCUAUUGUUGAUGAAUUUAUGGAAGUCGUGCAUACAUGUUGGCCUAAAGCUAUUGUUCAGUUUGAGGAUUUUCAAAUGAAAUGGGCUUUUGAAACAUUACAACGUUAUCGUAAGAGGUUCUGCAUGUUCAACGAUGA